rnacentral:rRNA from 1 species
GAUGAACGCUGGCGGCGUGCUUAACACAUGCAAGUCGAACGGAAAGGCCCAAGCUUGCUUGGGUACUCGAGUGGCGAACGGGUGAGUAACACGUGGGUGAUCUGCCCUGCACUUCGGGAUAAGCCUGGGAAACUGGGUCUAAUACCGGAUAGGACGAUGGUUUGGAUGCCAUUGUUGAAAGUUUUUUCGGUGUGGGAUGAGCUCGCGGCCUAUCAGCUUGUUGGUGGGGUAAUGGCGUACCAAGGCGUCGACGGGUAGCCGGGCUGAGAGGGUGUACGGGGACAUUUGGGCUGAGAUACGGCCCAGACUCCUCCGGGAGGCAGCAGUGGGGAAUAUUGCACAAUGGGGGCAAGACUGAGAUAGCGACGCCGCGUGGGGGAUGACGGCGUUCGGGUUGUAAACUCCUUUCGCUAGGGACGAAGCGUUUUUGUGACGGUACCUGGAGAAGAAGCACCGGCUAACUACGUG